rnacentral:rRNA from 1 species
AUUGAACGCUGGCGGCAGGCUUAACACAUGCAAGUCGAGCGGAGAUGAGGUGCUUGCACCUUAUCUUAGCGGCGGACGGGUGAGUAAUGCUUAGGAAUCUGCCUAUUAGUGGGGGACAACAUUCCGAAAGGAAUGCUAAUACCGCAUACGUCCUGCGGGAGAAAGCAGGGGAUCUUCGGACCUUGCGCUAAUAGAUGAGCCUAAGUCGGAUUAGCUAGUUGGUGGGGUAAAGGCCUACCAAGGCGACGAUCUGUAGCGGGUCUGAGAGGAUGAUCCGCCACACUGGGACUGAGACACGGCCCAGACUCCUACGGGAGGUAGCAGUGGGGAAUAUUGGACAAUGGGGGGAACCCUGAUCCAGCCAUGCCGCGUGUGUGAAGAAGGCCUUAUGGUUGUAAAGCACUUUAAGCGAGGAGGAGGCUACUGAGACUAAUACUCUUGGAUAGUGGACGUUACUCGCAGAAUAAGCACCGGCUAACUCUGUGCCAGCCGCCGCGGUAAAAC